rnacentral:snRNA from 1 species
GAACUUGCUACGGCGGUACAAAUUCUAAAAUUGGAACGAUACAGAGAAGAUUAGUAUGGCGCCUGCGCAAGGAUAACAUGCAAAUUCGUGAAGCAUUCCAUAUUUUA